rnacentral:rRNA from 1 species
UCGAGAAUCUUUCGCAAUGGGCGCAAGCCUGACGAAGCGACGCCGUGUGAGCGAAGAAGGCCUUCGGGUUGUAAAGCUCUUUCGCUAGGGAACAAGAAAGACGAGUGAAUAAUUCGUUGAUUUGAUGGUACUUGGUAAAGAAGCACCGGCUAACUCCGUGCCAGCAGCUGCGGUAAUACGGAGGGUGCAAGCAUUGAUCGGAAUUACUGGGCGUAAAGGGCGCGCAGGCGGUCAGGAAAGUCAGAUGUGAAAUUCCGGGGCUCAACCCCGGAGCUGCAUUUGAAACUUCCUGGCUAGAGUUCGGUUAGGGAAAACGGAAUUCCACGUGUAGCGGUGAAAUGCGUAGAUAUGUGGAAGAACACCGGUGGUGAAGACGGUUUUCUGGGCUGAUACUGACGCUGAGGCGCGAAAGCAAGGGGAGCAAACA